rnacentral:rRNA from 1 species
UACGGAGGGGCUAGCGUUGUUCGGAAUACUGGGCGUAAAGCGCGCGUAGGCGGACCUGCAAGUCGGGGGUGAAAGCCCGAGGCUCAACCUCGGAACUGCCUUCGAUACUGCGGGUCUCGAGUCCGGGAGAGGUGAGUGGAAUUCCUAGUGUAGAGGUGAAAUUCGUAGAUAUUAGGAAGUAACAACCGACGUGGUGGUAAGGA